rnacentral:tRNA from 1 species
GCGGUCGUAGCUCAGUUGGUAGAGCACCGGAUUGUGAUUCCGGCUGUCGCGGGUUCAAGCCCCGUCGAUCGCCCCA